rnacentral:rRNA from 1 species
CAGUUUGGUUUGCUUGCAAACCAAAGCUGGCGACCGGCGCACGGGUGAGUAACACGUAUCCAACCUGCCUCAUACUCGGGGAUAGCCUUUCGAAAGAAAGAUUAAUAUCCGAUAGCAUAUAUUUCCCGCAUGGGUUUUAUAUUAAAGAAAUUCGGUAUGAGAUGGGGAUGCGUUCCAUUAGUUUGUUGGGGGGGUAACGGCCCACCAAGACUACGAUGGAUAGGGGUUCUGAGAGGAAGGUCCCCCACAUUGGAACUGAGACACGGUCCAAACUCCUACGGGAGGCAGCAGUGAGGAAUAUUGGUCAAUGGACGCGAGUCUGAACCAGCCAAGUAGCGUGAAGGAUGACUGCCCUAUGGGUUGUAAACUUCUUUUAUAUGGGAAUAAAGUUGUCCACGUGUGGAUUUUUGUAUGUACCAUAUGAAUAAGGAUCGGCUAACUCCGUGCCAGCAGCCGCGGUAAUACGGAGGAUCCGAGCGUUAUCCGGAUUUAUUGGGUUUAAAGGGAGCGUAGGCGGAUUGUUAAGUCAGUUGUGAAAGUUUGCGGCUCAACCGUAAAAUUGCAGUUGAUACUGGCAGUCUUGAGUGCAGUAGAGGUGGGCGGAAUUCGUGGUGUAGCGGUGAAAUGCUUAGAUAUCACGAAGAACUCCGAUUGCGAAGGCAG